rnacentral:lncRNA from 1 species
GUUGGCCAGGCUGGUCUUGAACUCCUGACCUCAAGUGAUCCACCCGCCUCAGCCUCCCAAAGUGCUGGGAUUACAGGCGUGAGCCACCGUGCCUGGCCCAUCCCAGUUGUUAAUAUUUGAAAAUUUCCACCCUGCUGGGAUAAGUCCCUUGACUAUUUCCUUUGACUUUGCCCAUUCCUUUUGUGACUGGGCAUCAUUUUCUUGGCAUCUGUAAGACCCAUGAGGGGAAGCUGAGAUAACAAAUCUGGUAUGAUGUCUUGAACUGCGCUUGAUUUUGCAGCAGUAAGUUUCCAUGGGAUUCGUGUGCAAAAGGAGCUCGCGUAAUCACACUGAGGCAGGAGAUCAGCAGGACUUGUUUUCUGAACACUGGUCACAACCCAGCUGAUUGAAACAGGAUCUGGUCAAAAAGGAUGCAGUAAAGAAACUGGCCAACACCACCUAAAACCAAGAUGGCAACAAAAGCAACCUCUAGUUGCCUUCACUGCUCAUUACACGCUAACUGUAAUGCAUUUGCAUGCUAAAAGACACUCCCACCAGCAAGUGACAGUUUACAAAUAUCAUGGCGAUGCCCUGGGAAGUUACUGUACGUGAUCUAAAAGGGGAGGAACUUCAGUCUCAGGAACUCCCAACCUCUUUUGUAGAAAAUUCGUGAAUAACCUGCCCCUUAUUUAGCUUAUGAUGAAGGAGUAGCUAUAAACACAGCUCCCCAGCAAUACCCGACUACUUCUCUGCCUAUGGGGAAGCCUGUGCUGUCUGCGGAACAGCCAUUUUCUUGUACUCUCUUGUUCUAAUAAACUUGCUUUGCUUUCACUUUACUCUGUCAGUUUGCUCAGGAAUUCUUUUCUGUGUGAAGCCAAGAACUUUUCUGGGCUGAGCUCCAAUUUGGGCAUUCAUCUAUCGUGCCACUGCACUCCAGCCUGGGCGACAGAGCGAGACUCUGUGUCAAAAAAAAAAAAAAAAAAAAAAAGAAUGCUGGUGGGGCGUGGUGGCUUAAAGUAUAGCACAGUGUAUUAGUUCAUUCUGAAAUUGCUAUAAAGAAAUACCUAAGACUGGAUAAUUUGUAAAGAAAAGAGGUUUAAUUGGCUCACAGUUUUGCAGGCUAUUCUAAAUGCAAAACCUCUCUCUGUACUACUGAGGAUUCUCAGAUGGAAGAAUACAUUUGUUAACCAUGGUAACAACAUAUAUAAUCAAAGUUUUGCAUUAUUUUGAGCUUGGUUAUAACAAUGUGCUACAUCCAUCCACACACACACAGAAAGAGAAGUUGUUGAAAACCAAGACAAGGUGAGUGGCAACUGAAACUUUGACCUUGGGAAUCCGCAUCUGGAAUCACACACCUUCUUUUCUUUUGCUACCAGCCCCGCCUUCCAGACCCUGUUUUACUACUUCAUUGAGGCUUCUAGACCCUCACCUCCAUUUUUCCGAAGUCUUAUUUUUCUGCCCUCUCAUAGUUUCACAGUGUUUCAUGUUUCAAACUGGGACAUGAGUUUACCGUUGACAACCGUUUCCUAAGAGCUUUCUAACCUCCUCACCAUCUUUGCUUAAAUCAUUCUCCAAUCUGGAAAUGACUCAGCAUUUACAGAACUAAGCUAGUGGUUUAACUGCCUCUCCUCACUGAAUAACAUAUUUCCCUAACAAACCCU